AUUGAACGCUAGCGGGAUGCCUUACACAUGCAAGUCGAACGAGUGGCGAACGGGUGAGUAAUGUAUCGGAACGUGCCCAGUAGCGGGGGAUAACUACGCGAAACGUAGCUAAUACCGCAUACUAUUGGAGCGGCCGAUAUCGGAUUAGCUAGUUGGUGGGGUAACGGCUAACCAGGGCGACGAUCCGUAGCUGGUUUGGGAGGACGACAAGCAAAACUGGGACUGUGCAACGACCCAGAAUCGUACGGGAGGCAGCAGUGGUGAAUAUGGGACAAUGGGGGAAACCCUGAUCCAGCCAUACGGCGUGUGCAAUGAAGGCCUUCGGGGUGUAGAGCACUUUUGGCAGGAAGGCGGUACCUGCAGAAUAAGCACCGGCUAACUACGUGCCAGCAGCCGCGGUAAUAC
rnacentral:rRNA from 1 species